rnacentral:lncRNA from 1 species
AGGAAAUUGAAAAAGGAGGAUGGCAAGUUUAAGGUCAGCCUGGGCAACUCAUCAAGAUCUUGUAUCAAAAUCAAAAUAAAAAGGGCUGGAUAUGUAACUCAGUAAUAGAUUGCCCCUCGAUUCAAUCUCUAGUGCCCAAAGGGAGUGAGAAGCAUAUAACUCAUGUUCACUUUUUCCAUAUUAUGAAAAAUUUUAAACAUAAAGUUGAAAGAAUUUUACUUGUAUGCUCAUGACCUAGAUUUCACCAUUACAUUUUGUCAUAGUUGCCUUAUUGAAUAUCUUGUCACUCUAUCUAUCCCCUAUCAUCCAUCCAUAUCUUGUUUAUUUUUGAGGCAGUGGGGAUUGAACCCAGAGGCACUCUACUACUGAGCUACCCUAGUUUUUUAUUUUAUUUUUAGACAGGGUCUCUCUGAAUUACCCAGUUUGGCCUCAAACUUGGGUUUCUCUUGUCAUGCUUUUCAAAGUAAGCUAUAGAUAUUAGUAUGCUUAUCCUUAAACUUAAUAUUAUUUGUACUUUUCAAUUUUUUUUUUAAUACUGGGGAUAGAAAGGCAAGUGACUCACCUGAGAUGGAGAUUCAACCAAGAGCUUUACUCGGGGGCUGCCUGAAGGGGAAGAAAAGGAGAGGAAAGAGCAGAGAUAGGAGAGGAGGAGGGAAGAGAGAAAGAGCAGAGAGCAGAGGAAGAGAGCAGAGAGAAAGAGAGUAGAGAGAUGAGAGAAAGAAGAGGAAGAGAGCAGACAGGAAGAGGGCAGAGGCAUUUUGCGUAGGCAAUAUGGCGGGUGCUGAUUGGCAGGGUGACUCAGGAAUGGCAAGCGGAUACUGUGUCCCACGGGGGUUGGUCGAGAAAACUUUUGAUUUGGUGGUCUUCAGCUUGGCGCCCUUUGGAGAGGAGGGGGAGCGGUAAGGGAUUAGUGUUGUUCUCCUAAGACUGAAACUUAACUUCAGCCAGGUCUCUUCCACACACCCAACAGGGAUGACAUUCAGGCCUCCUGCAUGCUAGGCAACUUUUCUACCCCUAAGCUACUUUCCCAGUCCUGCAGUUUUUAAUUUUAAUAUAACAUUUAAAAUCAAACUGAUGAAUGUAAAGUCUAAUAUUCCGUGAGGGUUUGUGUGUGUGUAGUACUGGGGAUAAAACCCAAGGGUGCUUUACAACUGAAAUACAUCUCUAGUUCUUUUAAUUUUUUUUUUUCCUUUUUAAGAUGAAUUCUCACUAAAUUGCUGGUCUUGAACUUGUGAUCCUUCUGACCCAGGCUUCCCAGUAGCUGAGAUUACAGGUGUGCUCCAUGAUGUCAAGUUGUUUCCAUGAGUUUUGACAAAUGCAUACACCUGUGUUUCCUAACCCUCUAUCAAGAUUUAAAACAUCUUUAUCUCAUAAAGAUCUCUUCAGCUCAUUU